UACAGAGGGGGCAAGCGUUGUUCGGAAUUACUGGGCGUAAAGGGCGCGUAGGCGGCCUGCUACGUCGGACGUGAAAUCCCUGGGCUCAACCCAGGAACUGCGUCCGAUACUGGUUGGCUUGAAUCCGGGAGAGGGAUGUGGAAUUCCAGGUGUAGCGGUGAAAUGCGUAGAUAUCUGGAGGAACACCGGUGGCGAAGGCGGCAUCCUGGACCAACACUGACACUGAGGAGCGAAAGCCAGGGGAGCAAACGGG
rnacentral:rRNA from 1 species